rnacentral:rRNA from 1 species
UACGGAAGGGGCGAGCGUUGUUCGGAAUCAUUGGGCGUAAAGGGCGCGUAGGUGGUUCUGUAUGUCUACCGUGAAAGCGUACGGCUCAACCGUAUUUUGUCGGUAGAAACUGCAGGACUUGGGGCUGGGAGGGGCUGGUGGAAUUCCCUGUGUAGCGGUGAAAUGCGUAGAGAUAGGGGAGAACACUCGUGGCGAAGGCGGCCAGCUAGACCAGUUCUGACACUGAGGCGCGACAGCGUGGGGAGCAAACAGG